AAAGUUAAAAAAAAAAAAAAAAAACCUCUGCAGAUUCCCAGCAGACAGAAACAUUCAUGCCUUCUGUCUUCUGUUGCUUUAAUCUUUAUUUAUUCAGGGAAGACUGUCUAGUCACGCGGGCUCUUUUGUGGCCAAGUGCAGCUUCAUGCUCACACAGUUUAAUGUAGCAGCAAGUUAGAUCUUCUCAGUUAAACUGCGUUUUCUUCUCUGAGCAGCCUCUGAGCUGCUCCAUGGGAGAGAUUUGCUGUUAUGCAACUGUAUAGUACUGUGUGUGUCACGCCAACUGACAAAAAAGCACAACCAAAACAUCAAAAACCUUUCAUUCACUUUGCAAACAAAACAAGUCUUCAGCCGGACCUACAGGGGGCAGUCAAUCAGUUCAACAACACCAGCAAAGCACUCCAACCACUUCCUGUCAAGAGGAGGAACUUCCUGUUAGACGGCCAUCUUAACCAUCAGUUCAACACAUGCUGUGGGAGACAAAGGAGGAAAGUUUGUGGAGAGCAAAAGCUUAAAGAAACAAACCAAACCAAGAAAACUAAAAUCCCUCAGUUCACCGUCAAACGCAACUGGUUUUCAACCUGCUGCUAUUGAAUGACUGAAUGACCCCUUCAUCAACAAAACAAAGUUCAAUAAAACAUAAAAAGGGGAAAUCCUUGUCAAGAGUUGUUCCUUGCGUGACCAAGCUCUUUCAAGUGGAGCAUUAACUGAGGGAUCAAAUAAAAAGAAGAAAAAAAAAACACCAGAACUUGACAGUUGAAAACCAGCGUGGCAAGAGACAGAGGAUCAACGGCCUAUAGUCAACCUUGUCAACGUGAGGAAAAACUGCAAGAAUGGCAGAAGACGCCACUGGAAAAAGCAUCAAACAGCUGAAGAGUGAGAGGACUUCAGCAAAGACGGCCUUCACAAAACAGGCCAACUACGUCUCACGAGUGACUGGAUACCUGAUGAAAGCAGAGCUCCAAGCUGAAUACAUGAACUCUGCUCACUGUCCAGGAAAAGUAAACUACGCAAAUGAUGAGUAUGAGCUUAGUCUGCGGGCGGAGGCUGGCGAAGAGGAAGGUGAGAAGAAGCUGCACCCAAGCCAAGAGAGUGAUCUGGAAAAAACCACAGAGGACUGCAAAAAUAGACUGGAGGAAGUACGCAAAAGCGUGCUGUCCAGUCUCUGGUCAAGGUACGCCGAGGGGGAGCUGACCUUCGCCAUUGAAGAAGCCGAGUCGGCCUGUGAACAGGCUCAUAGAACCUUAGUGUCUCUGCUCAACAAAGAUGGGUAUGAGCACCAGCUGGAAACAGCAAAGCAGGUUGUCGCAGACACAAUGGCUGCAUUCAAGCGGUGGGAAGAAUGGAUUCCCGCUGAGGAGAAGACUGAAUUGGAUGGCAGAAUAAAAGGCCUAAGGAAGCUGAAGAGCAACCUCGUGGCAAAAAAGGCUGAGUUCCUGACAGUGGAGAGAACUGCAGAAGAGGAGAGGCGGAAUACAACUCAUCAGGCCCAGUCAGCACCCCAGCCAGCCCAGCAGCCUGUCCUCAAAAUAAAGCCCACCUGCCUGCCCAGAUUCCAUGGCUCAAGGAGGGAAUUCCACCAAUGGAAAAAAGACUGGGAAAAUCUACAGCGGCAAGGGGAGCCAACCGGCUCUGCGGAGGCGAAGAAGAUGCAGCUCCUUGACAGCAUGGAUGACAGGAUCCGCAAAGACCUCCGGCUCUCCACCUACAAGUCUGCCGAGGAGAUGUUUAAGGUCCUGGAAAACAGGUUCGGGAAUAAGACCACCAUCGCCCUGGAGAUUGUCGAGGACCUGGAGAAGAUCCCACCUCUAAAAUCCCACCAGCCCAGGAGGAUGAUCGAGCUCAUCCAGUCAGUUGAAAAGGCCUUGAGCGACCUGACAGAACUCGGAAAUACAGGAGCCAUCAAAAACCCUCUCAUCAUCAGGUCAAUAGAAAGCAAACUGCCAGACACAAUGAAGCGGGAUUGGCUACUCCACAUGGUAAAUCCAACAAAUGCAGUAACCCCAGACAACCACUUUGACAAGCUCCUGAGUUACCUGAAAACUGAAGAAGAGGUCUUGGAGAGACUCGAGCAACUUCGAGUGGAUGAGAAGCCGGACAAGAGACCAGCUGACUUCAAGAAGUACGCCUCUACCAGGUCCACGAGUAAAGAGGGCUGUGUUGUCUGCGGUGACGAGCGGCAUGCAGAAAAGCUCUUCUUCUGCAAGAAGUUUAAGGUACUGAAGGUAAAAGACAAGCUAAGUGCUGUGGAGAGGCUGGGAGCCUGCACAAAGUGUUUGGAGUGUCAUGACGAAGACAGUACCUGCAAAGACACUUACCUGUGUAAAAAGCCGGGCUGUAGGAGAGGCCAUCACUUCUUCCUGUGUCAGAAAGCAGACCCUAGAAAAGAGGAGACAGAGACAGCAAAGUCAACCAUGAAGAGGAAUAAACUGACAGAAGAACAACAGCAAUUCAUGUCAGAACUGUCCCCUGAAAUGGCGGAAAAAUGCAAAAGAGCCUUUACAAAUGCGUCUGCAAGAUCCCUCAAAACCGACAGGCCUGGCGGCAUGGAAGUGAGUGCGGUUCAAGAGCUCCCUGUGAUCCUCAUGCUACUGGAAGUUACCACCAAUGCAGGGGAAGGGAUCGGAACUCUAAUCGACUUAGCCUCAGACACGAACUACAUUACCCACCGUGCAGCAAGGAGACUGGGUCUGAGGAGCGAAAAGAUCACACUCGUCGUCCACGGGGUUGGAGGAAUGGCCCUAAAGGUCAAAACAAGGCGAUACCAUCUCAGAGUGAGAGUUAAGACCCCCAGAGGAACGGAACGCGCCCAUGAACUCCUCUGCUACGGCUUGGAAGACAUCGCUAAGGUCCAAAACCCAGUCACUCCUGAACAGCUGAGGAGGUUCUUUCCCAACACCAACCUGGAUGACCUGCGCAGGCCAGAACAAGUCGAACUCCUCAUCAGCCAUCGUGAGGGCCGACUUGUACCACAAAGGACGAAGGUGGUCGGUGACCUCGUUCUCUGGGACGGCCCACUGGGGAAGACAGUCGGUGGAACGCACCCGGACCUGUUUGAAAAAGUGGAUCUGGCGGCGCACACCUCAAAAACCCACUUCGCACGAUCCAUGAGGGCCACAGCUGUGAAGUACCAGGAACUCUGCGACACAAAUGGAAUCUCAGCUGAAACCAGAAGCACUGUAGCCAACAAAGAAUUCCUUAACUGGUGGAAGUGGGACAGUAUUGGAGCAGCUUGUGAACCUAAGUGUGGAGGGUGCAGAUGCGGCAACUGCCAGCCAGGAGGCAAAGAAAUGACACUGAGUGAGGAAAGAGAACUGGAGAUCAUCAGGAGAGGCCUCACCUUCAUCAACACCGAUGAUCACAGCAGUGAAUCACACUGGGACACAAAGUACCCAUGGAUCGAAGAUCCAACUUCUCUGCCCAACAACCGAAGUGGAGUGGAAGCCACUUUCUUGAGAACAGAGAAGCAGCUCAAAAAAGAACCGGAGUGGAAAGUGGGAUAUACAGCUCAAGUCCAUGAAAUGGUGGAAAGAGGAGCAGCAAAGAAGCUCACCAAAGAUACACUGACCAACUGGACAGGACCAGUCUGGUAUGUGAGCCACUUGGUGGCGCCAAAUCCACAUUCCACUACAACACCUGUACGCCUGGUGUGGAAUAGCAGUCAAAAGUUCAGGGGAACAAGCAUGAACGAUCUUCUGCUAAAAGGACCUGACGUCCUCAACCCGAUCAGAGCAGUACUUCUCAGAUUCAGGAGAGGGGUGCAUGCUGCACUCGGCGACAUCAAGAAGAUGUAUAACUCGGUGUGGUUGGAAGACCUGGAAGUACACCUACACAGGUUUCUCUGGAGAGACACAGAAGAUGGCGAACUGGAGGAGUAUGCAAUCACACGAGUUAACAUCGGUGACCGGCCAGCAGGAUGCAUCGCACAGCUGGCCAUGAGAGAGACUGCAAAGCUACCCAUGUUCACUCACCUGGAGGAGGAGCGCAGGAUCCUGGAGGAAGACUCCUAUGUCGACGAUGUACUUACCUCUCACAAUGACCUGGAAAAGCUGGACAAAAGCACAGCAGGAGUUGAAAAAAUCCUCAAAGCAGGUGGAUUCUUCCUGAAGCCCUGGGUCCGGUCAGGCCAAAGUAGGAGGGACAUGCUCGCACCAGAAAGACCAGCAAACAAAUUCCUUAUUCUCCCAAAUCAAAGGAGAGAAGAAGAUGAUAAAGCCCUGGGAGUCGGCUAUCUUGUUGAAAGCGACAAACUGUACCCAAUGACCUCAGUCAACUUCUCAAAGAGGAGAAAGAAAAUGAGAGUGGGUCAAAAUAUCCUGGAGGAAGAGGUGAGAGGGAAAACUCCCAAGCCACUGACUAGAAGACAGCUGUUGAGCCAAGUAGCUAGCCUGUAUGACCCAAUAGGUCUUGUCACUCCUGCGAAACAGAAGGGUGCCAUUCUAGUCAGGAGAGCCUUCCAGGAGGCCGGAACCAGCACAGCCCGAGACACCUGGGACAAGCCACUGUCAGAACAGUUGAGGGAAGAAGCAAUCCAGCUUUUUGAGGAAUACAUCCGCCUCAGCCAAAUAACCUUCCACAGAAGCCUCACACCAUGCAACUGGACCAAAAAACCAUGGGGGAUAACAUUCUCUGAUGGGAGUGACCAGAGCUACGGAGCCGUGGUGUACUUCAGGUGGGAGACUGCACAAGGCAUUGAAGUCAGGCUCAUCGAGUCAAAAGCAAAGCUUACGCCACUUGACCAGAAGGGGGAACCAGUCAAAGCUGAAAUCUGUGGUGCUGUCUAUGCUGUCCGCCUAAGAAGGUACAUUGAGAAGCACUCUCGGAUGGAGAUUGAAAAAUGGCUCCACCUGCUGGACAGUCAAACUGUGUUGGGAGCAAUCCAAAGAGACAGCUAUGGAUAUCAGACGUUCUUUGCGAACAGAGUCGGAGAAAUCCAGAAGACCACAUCCCCUGAUGAGUGGUGGUGGAUCCAGGGAGACCUCAAUGUGGCAGACAUCAUAACAAGAGGUGCAGCCCCAGAAGAUCUCAAAGAGGAUUCUGUGUGGCAGAAUGGACCAGACUUCCUGAAACUACCUGUGGGAGAGUGGCCAAAGAAGUCUGCCAAAGAUGUUGCUACCCAUGCUAGAGAAGGGAUAAACAAGCUUCAAAGAAAGUCCUUCUCAGCAGCACUGACGAGAGCACAGCUCAAGAAAGCCACACACAAUGCGCCAUCUAGUGGUACAAGCAGCCCAGUGACAGUCACAGCCAAAGGAGGUACUGAUGCUCAGCAAAGCACCGCAGAUGGAAAGGGGCCCAGGACUCAACUCCGAAGACCACCAGCUGGUUCUGCAGUAAAAGAACUGAUCAAUGUCAGAAAGUUCAGCAGCUUGACCAAGAUGACCAGAGUUAUCGCCUGGGUGUGGAGAGCUGCAAUGAAGUGGAAAGAAUUACUGGGCAAAACCCAAUCCACAAGUAAGCCAAAGUGGGAGGUGCUCUCAUCGGAAGAGCUAAAAUCCAGAGCAAAACAAGCUGUACUUACCAUCGGCGAGUAUGAAGAUGCUCAGAGAGACCUUUUCCUCGCAGCACAAGAGGGUGCAUGCUUCCAAGACGCCACCCUCAACAGACUGGCUGUGUACAAAGAUACAAAAACCGGACUCUUGGUCUGUGGAGGAAGAUUUCAGAUCUUUGAUGACGACAAAACCACUGUACCAAUCUUACCUUGUGAUGCGUGGGUAUCCUCUCUUCUGGCACAAGAAGCCCACAAUGCAAACCAUGAGGAAAUAGCAGGUACACUCCUGAGGAUGAGGAAAAAAGCAUGGGUCACAAGAGGCCGGAAACUGGCUCAGAAGAUUGUGGACAGCUGUGUGAUAUGCAGAAAGACCAGAGCUAAAAAGUGCCAACAAAUCAUGAGUGACCUCCCAUCCGAACGGAUUACACCAGCAAGACCAUUCGAAUUCACAACAUUGGAUCUAUUCGGACCUUAUGAAGUGAAGGAUGAAGUGAAGAAGAAAACAAGGCUCAAAGUAUGGGGGUUAGUCUUCUGCUGUAUGGCAUCCCGAGCUCUGCACACAGAUGUCGUAAGUGACCAGUCUUCUGAAGGUUUCCUGCUGGCCUACAAAAGAUUCACAGCACUAAGAGGUCAUCCAAAGAAGCUGUGGUCAGACCCUGGGAAAAACUUUGUGGGUGCCAGACCUGCGCUCAAUGACCUGUACACCUUUCUUGGCCAGCUACAAUCGCCAGAGGUUGAGAAUGAAGUCUCCAAGCAUGGGACAGAAUGGAGCUGGAAAAUUCACCCCGCUGAUUCCCCUCAUAGAAAUGGAGCUGCAGAGGCUGCUGUACGCACCGUGAAGCGCGCUCUGCACAACCUGGGAGGAGACGGGUGCUUUACCUGGAGUGAGUUCCAAACCUUCCUCUACAUGGCUGCAAACCUUGCCAAUGAGAGACCCAUAGAUGCCAGAACUCAAAGCCGAGAGGACUGUGUGGAGUACAUCAGCCCAAAUUCUCUUCUGCUUGGGAGAACAGGACCUAGAGGAGACCUCGGAAGCUUCGACUUUGAUGGCUACCCCUACAAAAGGCUAAGAGCAAUUCAAACAGAAGUUGACCGGUUCUGGAGGAAGUGGAGUCAGUUGGCGGGGCCCAAUCUAUUCACCAGGAGCAAGUGGCACACGACACACAGAAAUGUAGCCACAGGAGACAUUGUCUGGCUUGCCGACCAAAAUGCACUGAGGAGUCAGUACAAACUGGCCAGAGUCAUCAGCGUCAAUCCUGACAAGAAGGGCGUCGUCAGAGAUGUUCAUGUCCGAACCUUCCCCAGCUAUCCAGUCUCGACCAUGAAAUCUAACCAGAGGUCAACAAGAAAACUGAAAAUCAAAAUCCCCUCUACAGUCCUGCACAGGGAUGUACGACGGGUCAUUGUUCUAAUACCUGUUGAGGAACAAAAGAACACCAUCAAGGAAAGAGAAAACAACACACACUGACCAUCUACGACUCUUGUGACCUCUCUGAGUUUCACAACCGAGAGGUCAAGUGGGAGGUGUCACGCCAACUGACAAAAAAGCACAACCAAAACAUCAAAAACCUUUCAUUCACUUUGCAAACAAAACAAGUCUUCAGCCGGACCUACAGGGGGCAGUCAAUCAGUUCAACAACACCAGCAAAGCACUCCAACCACUUCCUGUCAAGAGGAGGAACUUCCUGUUAGACGGCCAUCUUAACCAUCAGUUCAACACAUGCUGUGGGAGACAAAGGAGGAAAGUUUGUGGAGAGCAAAAGCUUAAAGAAACAAACCAAACCAAGAAAACUAAAAUCCCUCAGUUCACCGUCAAACGCAACUGGUUUUCAACCUGCUGCUAUUGAAUGACUGAAUGACCCCUUCAUCAACAAAACAAAGUUCAAUAAAACAUAAAAAGGGGAAAUCCUUGUCAAGAGUUGUUCCUUGCGUGACCAAGCUCUUUCAAGUGGAGCAUUAACUGAGGGAUCAAAUAAAAAGAAGAAAAAAAAAACACCAGAACUUGACAGUGUGUUCAGUACGCUUCAAAAGAGGAGGACUCUGUUUGGAUUUCAUGACUUAGUCCAGGUUUCUGAAAAAGCGUGUCAUGCCAUAUAUUUAUAUAAUAAUAACUUUAUGGAUGUGUGCUUUCACUUUGACUAAGUUGAACAGCAUACUGCAGCAUGUGUUGUCUUCACAGUGGAUAUGUGAAAGUGUGUGUGUUGUUGUGUUGAAAAGGAUUUAUACUUCACUUCCCAUGUUCCUAUUGAGAUUUUUGUCAGAUUUUGUCAUCUUUGUAUAAGAAAGACAUUUUCUAGUUGCAGUGUUUUGUAUAAAGGCUAAACAGUAAUUAAAAAAUCUGAGUGGAUUUAAUGAUCCACUUAAAUCCAAAUAAUUUGCCCUGCAGACACGUUGAGGGCUUUUAAAGGUCAGAGAUCUUAACCUGCAACAUCAAACCCAGACUCUUAAGCGAUUAAUAACAUCCUAACAUCUAAAAUGUUGUCAUUUAUGACGACACAUUGAAAUAACUCCAU